rnacentral:lncRNA from 1 species
GGUGACAAAAAAAGGAUGAAGAACCUAUGCUUAUAUAAUGUUGAAUAUAGUGAAAACUAGGUAUAAAGUUAAUCUCCCUUGUAUAGAAAAUACACAAGGGUAAUGUAUUUAUAAUGAAGAAAAUAUGGUCUAAGCCCAAAUAAAAUAAUUGUGUAAAAUAACAUAAGACACAAUAUAAAUAUCUAACAUAAGUCCAAAAGUAUAUUGAAAUUUAUGAAGAUUAGCGAAAUACUCAAAUUUUUGGGUAUUCUAUUGUUGACUGAGUUGAGUCUUCAAGUGAUAGAUGAUCCACUUCUGGGUAUUAUGUUCUUUUUGGAGGUAAUUUAGUACCGUUUCAUGGAAAAUCAAGAGACAAAAUGUUGUGGCAAGGUCAAGUAUAGAGAAGUAAACAUAUGGCUAAAACACUGAAGAAGCUUAAAUUUGAAGAAAGUUUCAAAUGCAUCUUGUAUGUCACAAUUAGGUAGCAAAUUUGUUGAAUUCUUCCUACAUCAUGUCUUUGUCAUUAGAAGAUAUCAAAUUUUCUCUAUUUGGUGAAUUGAUUCAUUUUUCUCAUUAUAAAAAAAGCCCUCAUGCUGCUUCAGUAACGUGUUUCAGUGUAAUAUUUCUCUCUUAGAAUUUCUCAUAUUCUUUAUAAGCAAAAAGUGUUCUAGGAAAUUUCAGUUGUUUUUUUUUUUUUUUUUUUUCAGGCAUGAACAUUGUUCCAGCCAUUAAACAAACAUCGAACAAUGGCAUCCUUAGAAUUUCACAUAUUCUUUAUAAACAAACUGUGUUCUAG